UACGUAGGGCGCAAGCGUUGUCCGGAAUUAUUGGGCGUAAAGAGCUCGUAGGCGGCUCGGUAAGUCGGGUGUGAAAACUCUAGGCUCAACCUAGAGACGCCACCCGAUACUGCUGUGGCUAGAGUCCGGUAGGGGAGCAUGGAAUUCCUGGUGUAGCGGUGAAAUGCGCAGAUAUCAGGAGGAACACCAGUGGCGAAGGCGGUGCUCUGGGCCGGUACUGACGCUGAGGAGCGAAAGCGUGGGGAGCAAACAGG
rnacentral:rRNA from 1 species